AAACCAGCAUUAUCUGUUCGGCGCUCCUGUUGGCUGCCAUGCAACCUUCUACGUGGCCAAGAUGCCUUUUCAAGGAACCAGCGAAAAAGUUGGACCCUCCCAGGAGCGGGAGGCAAGAUAAAUGGAUCCUCAGACUGUGAUUCGGUUUACCUUCUUUGCUGACAUUCCAGUAUUUUCGGCAUUUGAGGAAGCUGCACAUGCUGAGUGGUGCCAAGGACCAGCACCCAUCCCAAGGCAGAUGGCAGCCCAGCUAACCAUCCAAUUUGCCAUUCAGCCAAGGCAAAGCAGCUGAGCAAGAGAACCAAAUCAAACCCCUUGCCUUGAGUCUGAGUGACUGCAACCCUGUCUUGACUUUGCAAGAGGGUGUGUGAGCAGCACACACAGAAGACGAGAGGCUCAGCAAGAUCACACUGUACAGUUAUUCUGUUAUUCUCAUAAACAUGAUUGAAACUCCCUUUGUGCUCAGCAUCUGAGUACAACGUGUUGAUUUAUUUCAUUUAUUUAUUAAACCUACUGUAUUAUACCAAGGAUUUUCUCACUGGUUUGCAGUAAAAAAUUA